CCCGAACGAAAUAAUCAAAACAUUUACAUGUGAAAGCGCUAUUAAAUCUUACAGUAAGACAAAAAGGACCGAAAAGAAGAAAGCUAUUUCAUUUGAUUUCAUAGGGUUUUGUGGAUGAGCAUUAUUCUUCAAGAAGAAGCACCAUAAUUGAUGCUGAAAAGAAAAGACGUAAACAAAUUAACAAACAUCAACAUGUUUAUGAUGCUAUUUUUGCUUUUGGAAUUGGAAAUGCGGAUGCGGCGCGGCGACAUCCAGUGCUGGAAUUUAC
rnacentral:lncRNA from 1 species